GGUCCGUUGGUCGAGGGGUUAAGACACCGCCUUUUCACGGCGGUAACACGGGUUCGAAUCCCGUACGGACUA
rnacentral:tRNA from 3 species